UACGUAGGGGGCGAGCGUUGUCCGGAGUUACUGGGCGUAAAGGGCAUGCAGGCGGUCGGACGCGUUUCGGGUGACAGCGGGUGGCUUAACUACCCGAGUGGUCGAAAGACGGUUUGACUUGAGGACGCGAGAGGGACACGGAAUACCGGGUGGAGUGGUGAAAUGCGUAGAGAUCCGGAGGAACACCGAAGGCGAAGGCAGUGUCCUGGCGCGUAACUGACGCUGAGGUGCGAAAGCCAGGGGAGCGAACGGG
rnacentral:rRNA from 1 species